UAUGGCAACCUUGGGGGAAAUUGAUACACUCCCCUAAAUGAAACUUCAUUUUAUAUUGGGUAUGACUUUCUGCUUUCUGCUUUUCAGCAUGAAUCAGUGGGACUCCCAGCUUGAGCCUUGGCGGGGCCAGGACCAGGGAGUCUCAGCCAACUCAGAAGACUAGAGAAAAUUAUGUAGGAUAGGAUCACUGAGACACCCUACUCAGACAGAAUCUUGGGAAAACAGGCAGAAGGAGGAUGCUGGCAUCAUGGUGAAUUAUUCAUCCUCUCCUUCCAGACUGGGAUGCUCUCCCUCCUUUACAUGGAAAUUCCCAACUCCUUCCAGCCAACUCCCGCUCGUUCCUUCAGUUCUCAGCCUGGACUGGAAGAGCUUGACAACGCUUCUGCAGAGACAAUGCUGUGUUCAUAGAUGUGGACUACGUUCCUCAGGCCCCUUGACAUCUAGAUAUGGACCAUAUGACUGAGUCCAGCCAAAAAGAGGAAGGUAGAAGGAAAGCAUGCCACUUCCACAUUUGCCCAUAAAAUAUCCCAGGCAAUCUUCCACACCCUCUCUCCUACCUCUGUGAGGCUGGAAACAAAAAGCUCUGAGAUGGGAGCCUUCUCAAGCAAGAAGAGGCCAAAUCUCUGAUCUCUGACGGAGAGAUGCUGAGUAGUCACCCUACCAAGAAGAUCUGCAUUGGAUUUUACUGGCGCAAGAAAUAAAUCCUUACUGUGUGAAGCCA